rnacentral:rRNA from 1 species
CGCAGCCGCGGUAAUUCCAGCUCCAAUAGCGUAUAUUAAAGUUGUUGCAGUUAAAAAGCUCGUAGUUGAAUUUCGGGGUCAGUAGGUUGGUCAUGCCACUGGUAUGUACUGGUCUCACUGAUUCCUCCUUCCUGAUGAGCCGUAAUGCCGUUAAUUUGGUGUUGCGAGGAAUCUGGACUGUUACUUUAAAAAAUUAGAGUGUUUAAAGCAGGCUAACGCUUGAAUACAUUAGCAUGGAAUAAUGAAAUAGGACGUUCGAUCUUAUUUUGUUGGUUUCUAAGAUUGACGUAAUGAUUAAUAGGGAUAGGUUGGGGGCAUUAGUAUUCAAUUGUCAGAGGUGAAAUUCUUGGAUUUAUGAAGACUAACUACUGCGAAAGCAUUUGCCAAGGAUGUUUUCAUUAAUCAAAGAACGAAAGUUAGGGAUCGAAGACGAUCAGAUACCGUCGUAGUCUUAACCAUAAACUAUGACCAUAGGGAUCGGGAUGAUGUUUAAUUUUUAUGACUUCAUUCGGCGUCCGUU